rfam:Triticum aestivum genome assembly, contig: Triticum_aestivum_CS42_TGACv1_scaffold_578155_7BL
AUCCUACUCCCUCCGUCCCAAAAUUCUUGUCUUAGAUUUGUCUAAAUGUAUCAAGUCGCGUUUUAGUAUUAGAUACACCCGUAUCUAGGAAAAUCUAAGACAAGAAUUUUGGGACGGAGGGAGUACUUG